rnacentral:rRNA from 1 species
UACAGAGGGUGCAAGCGUUAAUCGGAUUUACUGGGCGUAAAGCGCGCGUAGGCGGCUAAUUAAGUCAAAUGUGAAAUCCCCGAGCUUAACUUGGGAAUUGCAUUCGAUACUGGUUAGCUAGAGUGUGGGAGAGGAUGGUAGAAUUCCAGGUGUAGCGGUGAAAUGCGUAGAGAUCUGGAGGAAUACCGAUGGCGAAGGCAGCCAUCUGGCCUAACACUGACGCUGAGGUGCGAAAGCGUGGGGAGCGAGUCCGG